UACGUAGGGUGCAAGCGUUGUCCGGAAUUACUGGGCGUAAAGCGUGCGCAGGCGGUUUGUUAAGUCUGAUGUGAAAGCCCCGGGCUCAACCUGGGAACUGCAUUGGAAACUGGCAAGCUCGAGUAUGGCAGAGGGGGGUGGAAUUCCGCGUGUAGCAGUGAAAUGCGUAGAGAUGCGGAGGAACACCGAUGGCGAAGGCAGCCCCCUGGGCCAAUACUGACGCUCAGGCACGAAAGCGUGGGGAGCAAACAGG
rnacentral:rRNA from 1 species